CCAACCCUUUUCGUGCCCACUCCGCCUCGUUCUCCUCCCCACUCGCUCUUAUCCUCCCCCAUGCUGCCGCCCCCUUCCCCCCUGCUCGCCUCUGCCGCCUCCUCUCCUUCCCGCACCUCCGGCCUACCCCCCUCCUCCCUCCUCCUCCAUCCUCUCUCAUUCGUCAUCACGGCAGACCAUCUCCCGUCACUUAGGCCCCAUGCCGGCGGCCGGGUCGGGGUGGAGGCGCAGCAGGGGUUGGUGGAGCGGCGGAUGUGGGCGGGCUCCCGUCGCUGCUCCAUGACGGCGGCCAGUUCAAUGGGUAGGGGUAGAAAGCCAUGGAGAACUUGGGAGAGGAGGAAGGCGACGGUCCAGCCCGCGGCGUUGGGCAGAGAGAGAUGGGGACGGCGGCGCUGGGAAAAGAGAGAUGUCGGCGAAGGUGGCGGUGGCGCUGAGUAGAGAGAGCAUGGCGUCGGCGGUAGUUGUUCUCCUCCUCCUCCUCUCCAUUCUUCUCCCGGCGUUUCCAGAAGCCUCCUCGUCCAACGCACGCCCCGAGGAUUUUCAAGAUGGGCCUUCCUAUCCAUAAGUUUGUCUUUAUACUGCAUAUUAAUUCACUCUUUUGGGUAGGUAACUAAAGUCCUGUAACUUUACAUAAUCAUUGAAGUUGUUUUUCCCCAUCCGAGUUUUGCUUUACAACAACUUGAUUGCUUCUGUAUUUGUGUAGUUUUCUGCAUAUCGUACAACCCUGAAUGUUGUUCCGUUCCUUAAUAAAUACAUCGCUCUACAGGGUUGAUUAAAGAAGUUAACUCUUCUUCAUAACAGUUUUUCAAAUGCCCUGAUGGGAUGACCCUAAACAUGGAUAGUUUAACUUGGUAUAUCAGCUCAAACACCUGAUCCGCAAAAUGUAGAAAUUAUCUUGACGCAACUAAGGAAGACACUGGGCAGGUAUUUUUUCAUUAUACACUUCACGGUGUAUGCACUAAUUUCUUCUUAGCUAAACAUUGUCGGAGUGGUCACUUUAUUGCAGUGUCUUAUUUUCAGAUCUCAUGUUCCUCAAGAUAAUGGACAAGAAUGCGUUUUUGGUAGUAUGGCACCAUUACAAUAUAUUUUCUACUAUGUCGUUCAUUUGUUAUGCACCAUCUUUAAGGAAGCAUAGAGAAUGUUUGUUUGCCAUUGUUAUAAAUCUGUAUCUGAAUAUUAUUUGUAGAUUUAUGUUUGGAAACACCAAUCACGAUAAUGUUUUUGUGUGUGUAGAAAGAUUUGCAUAUUUCAUAUACUAAUACAGAAAUUGAACAAUUGUAAGAAAUAUGGUUGGAGAUGUCAUGUAAACUGGUAGUUUUCAUAAGAAGAUAAUUGUCAUGUUAUAUGAUAUACUAUUAGGUUAUUUGUAGUACUACUGCAUUUUCUUAUAUAGUUACACUAAUUUAAUGUGUAGGUGACAAGGCGUUGGAUUGGAGCCAUGAUUUACUUAGUAGCUUUAUUGGCUGGCAUCGAACUAUUUGGUGCUACAAUUAUUGUAAAUGUCUAACUUUGUAAGAUAUUCAUCAUUGGUUCAUCAUAGUAUGCUUAGUUCUGUGCCUUGUUUCAGAGGCUUGCUCUUAGUACUCCUCUAGACAGGGAACGUUGAUGACUCCAUACAGGUAACUCUUUUGAAAUCAUUGACAGUAUAAAUAUACAGUUGUGUGAUUAAAUUUGAGGUUA